rnacentral:rRNA from 1 species
CCUACGGGUGGCAGCAGUGAGGAAUAUUGGUCAAUGGCCGAGAGGCUGAACCAGCCAAGUCGCGUGAGGGAUGACGGCCCUACGGGUUGUAAACCUCUUUUGUCGGGGAGCAAAGAGAGUCACGCGUGACGCAUUGAGAGUACCCGGAGAAAAAGCAUCGGCUACCUCCGUGCCAGCAGCCGCGGUAAUACGGAGGAUGCGAGCGUUAUCCGGAUUUAUUGGGUUUAAAGGGUGCGCAGGCGGAGGCGCAAGUCAGCGGUCAAAUUGCGGGGCUCAACCUCUUACGGCCGUUGAAAAUGCGUUCCUUGAGUGCGCGAGAAGUACGCGGAAUGCGUGGUGUAGCGGUAAAAUGCAUAGAUAUCACGCAGAACUCCGAUUGCGAAGGCAGCAUACCGGCGCGCAACUGACGCUCAUGCACGAAAGCGUGGGUAUCGAACAGGAUUAGAUACCCCAGUAGUC